AGUACGCGCCUGGGGCGUCUCGUACUUGGAAAGCUAGUGCUCUAUACAAAGACCAAUAAAAGUUUGCAGAGCCUAAGUUGUUGGAUACACCUUUUUUUUUUAGUUAGGGGGAGGGAAAUCUUUUCACGCCGGGCACAAAACACUCCAAAAGCGGCAGGGUUUUUCGUGUCAAAUCGCCAUCUUGGACGGGGCACGUUUUCAGAGGACUGGUGCCGAAUUUACGAAUCUGCUCGGGCCCUAUGUUCGAAGGCUUGUAGGAUUUUCGCUAGCUUCGGAAAAUAAGAUCGGAUGGCGGGAAAGCACAGACGGAAGAACAAGGUUUGAUUUGGUAUCAAACAUGGCCAGAAUUUCGCGUGGUUCCUGCGCCUAUUCUUCAAAGGGAUACGGUCUUUCCGCGACUUAUCCCAAAAUGUCUUGAAUUCAGUUAUUUUGAGUCCCGAUUUUAUUUUUACGUCGAAAGAAUUUAUUGAAAAUCAGCAGGGUAGUCCGAUUCUUGAAUCCCUGAAUGUCUUCGCUAUGAUUUUGGUUUUGUAGAUUUCUCCUAUGUUCUCGCGCGAUUAUUUUUGAAACCUCACUCUAAUUUCCAAGUUUAAUUGUAAAUAUGCCAAAGAGAUUCAGUCUCGGAGAGUAAAUGCGAGAGGCCAAAUUAAAGUGACAGAAUGUGAUGGACUCUUCGUGAGAACUGCAGGAGCUGGAGGAUGAGUUUUCUUCCCUUUAGCAAAGCAUCGCUGAGAAGAAACGUGAAAGCGAAGCGAGAAAAGCUGAGAAGGCUUAGCAGAAAGGUAUUUAUAAAGACCCAAAUAGAAUGUGUUUACAUAUAAUACUCAUUUUGUAGAAAUGCAGUGCUUAUAGAAAAGGAAUCGAAAGGAAAGGACAUAUUUAUUUUAGCCAGACUUGCGCAUUAUUUUACGCUAUCGUGUUAUUUGAGAGGGGUGAUUUAUUGAGUUAUAAAUUAUAGUCAAAUUGUUGGUUCUUUCAGAUCAAAAGAUCGUUUCGUCAAAGAAAUAACACAUGGAAUAGAACUCAAAAAAACUCGGCGCGCGCGUUGCUAUGGUAGCUUAUAAACAAUAAUUAUUCUUUGUUGUGAAAGUAUUUUCAGUUUCAACAGCGUGGUACAAGUAUGACUAGUAAUAGUGGUGGCAACGAUAUUUCUAAAUCAACAUGUUGUAAAGUGGCAAUUCCAUAAUGAAUUUCAUAAUGAAUUUCCCUGAUUAGUUGUCCUAAUCAUCAAGCUACCAUAGCUUAUUAACAAGUAAUGAAAACUUAUGGGGGAAGUAUUGCUCCAAAUAACACAGGGAAAGAGAAAGUUUCUGACUGGCCGUAUGGGUGGUGCAGCUAGACAGCUUCAGUUGAAGAAGAAGAAAGAGGAAAAACUAGCCGCUGAACAGGAGAAGAACUCAACCAAGCAGCAUGAUGAUAGUAAGAACACAGCUUGGAAUGCUUACCUAGAGGAGCUGGGAAGCUGAAUUACGAGAGCGCAGAUUCAGACGUGGUCGAAUUGAAGGCGCCUCAGGCAGCCGAAUACAAUUCAUGUCUGACCACGGAUCACAGCUAAGAUCGAAAUUGUUGGUUUUGUGGAGGGAUGAAAACCGGAGAAAAACCCUCGGAGCAAAGGCGAGACCAACUAACUCGACUCACGUAGGAACCGGGAGUCGAACCCGGGACCCAGUGGUGAGAGGCACAGGCACUACAGAGCGACCGGGAAACCUGUGGUGAGAAGCACAGGCACUACAGAGCAACGCUCUGCCAACUGCGCCACCUAGGCUCCCAUAAUACAGAGAGACUUCAUGCACAGAGGAAGUAGACAGAGUCCGGCCUCUAGUCAAGUGAUGAAAAUAUAUUUAUAUGUGUAAUGUGAUUAUAACAAGUGGUUUACAUAUCUAUGAAAUAGCCUUAGAUUUACUCAGCUUUAAAACACUCUUUUUUCCCCUUUCUCAUUGUAUCAUAGGUGAGGUUUGUUACCCAGAACUCCACAUAUUUCUUUGAGCCACAGCUAUUUGCUCUAGGUCAUGGCUACUGGAAAGGUAGUGUCCAACUAGGGUUUGGCCCCAGCCAUGACCUAUGUAGUAAAUGGCAUUUCAGUCCAUUGAACAGAUUGUUGCAUGUAGACACCCUGUUACACCCUAUUGGACAUUAGUUCUACAACUGUGGUUUUGGUAUCUAUUAGUUAUUUGAAACUUUGGAAGAUAUAUUUUUGUGCAUGUCCAGCAGUGUCGAAAAUUUCUAUAUUUAGAACAGCCCAGUGUUGUGUUUUAUGUAUGUAUAAACUUAUGCAAAUAAAAAAAAUCAUUUGCCUAUCAA